GGGCGCGUGGCUCAGUGGAUAGAGCAACAGAUUCCGGUUCUGUGGGUCGGGGGUUCAAAUCCCUCCGCGCUCGCCU
rnacentral:tRNA from 2 species